GCGCGAUCUGGGUGCCGGCGGAGAAACUCUCAAGAGGACGGAACUCUCGCGAUUAAGGCCUUUUCCCCCCCGGCGACGUGGAAGGAAAAAGGAGCGCGCUUCCGGAAAAGGAUUUUUAUAAAGGAAGCAACCCAUGAAGACAAAGGGGUGGAAUGUUGUGGAGCUGAAGAAAGGUGGACAGCGGCAGCUGCUUUCGCAUCUUGGAGGUCGGGGUCCAGGAGAUCGUUCACGCAAGUGCGACUGUGAAAAGGAAGAGACUCCAGGGCUCAGCCCCUACCGGCAGUGGCUGGGAGGUGAGCUCCAGCAGAGGCGCUCUCGGUUGGGUUGGCCAUCGGGGGCAGGGUCCUGUUCUGAAAGUGGGGGAAUACGUGAGAUUCCCGCCUUUCUGCCACCUCCACCCCUGGCUCCGAGUCCGGCCCCAAGCAUGUGGCACCCACAAUCCUCAGAGAGAAGAGCUCAUCUCUGCAGUAGCUCCCAACACAGAAGAAAAGCCUGGCAGUUGGGAGGUGGUCAGGAGAAUGGCCUGGCUCGAUCCUUGAUCUCAAAGCUCACCAGGCAAUAGGCCCCAGCCACUAAGAUUAAAUGCAACUGGGCAACCCAGGAUCACCAGACAGCUGAGGGAGAGGAAAAAACAAAAAAGCAAAAGGAAAAGGGACUCAGAAGGAACACAGCCAAUAAAGCGAGCAGAAGAAGGAGGAAAAAAGGAAAGCUAAAACCGUAUCCUCAGAGAUAUUAGAGAGGCUGUUGCGUCUGAAAACAUGAACAAGAGGCUGGAAAGAAAGAACAUUCAGCAAACGAGAAAGAGCACUUAUAAAUGGAAAGCAUGAGAGGAAAACGAACAGUUAAACAGAAAGGUUGAAAGAUAAAGCUGUAAUUUUCCAGAAUGUAUGACAACAAAACCAUAUAGCUGGAAAGCAGACAAUGGAGCCAUUGUCACACUUGUCGGCGCUCCCCAGUGCUAGAGCUGGCCGGGCGCCUUAGAGGCCUCCACAACAGAGGGGGUGGAUAAAGGGGGGGAUCGGCUGGGACUUGCCACCUCCAUUGUGGGGGGCAAAAGCACCACCCCCUGCUGGCAGCUUCCCCUGUGAAAAUCUGGCAUUGCUGCUUUCAGAGUGCUUGUGUGCUGGGCACUGUUCUCGUUACUUUUCACAGUUAACUUGUGCGAUCUCACAACCACCCCAUGAAGUGUGGACCAUUAUUAUCCCCAUCUUUACUGGUGAGAGAGUGGAGUCACAGACCACUGUCACACAGCAGGAAGCAGCAGAAUGGCUCCAGAGCCUAUGCCCUUAACCAGCACAUAUUGCACCUGUCAAAAAACAAGUCCAACAUCUAAGUAAGCAUUCCAGAAAAGGAGAGGGGAGAAAUCACCACAAAAGCAAAGAAAGCUUCCUAGAACUGAAGGGUUGGGAUCUCUGGACAAUAGAUGAAAGAGGUCAUAAACAACAAGGUCCAGGGACUUCCCUGGUGGCACAGUGGGUAAGGCUCUGCGCUCCCAAUGCAGGGGGCCCAGGUUCGAUCCCUGGUCAGGGAGCUAGAGCCCGCAUGCAUGCUGCAACUAAGAGUUCGCAUGCCACAAGUAAGGAGCCCUCAAGCUGCAGCUAACACCGGGUGCAACCAAAUAAAUGAAUGAAUAUUUAAAAAACAAAACAACAAGGUCCUACUGUAUAGCACAGAGAACUAUAUUCAAUAUACUAUGAUAAACCGUAAUGGAAAUUGCUGUACAGCAGGAAUUAACACAACAUUGUAAAUCAACUAUGCUUCAAUUAAAAAUUAAAAUAAAAGAAAGAGCAGGUCUACAUCAGGACACGUCGUUGAGAAUUUCCAAAGUACUUGGGUAAAGAGAAGAACCAGAGAGAGAGAGAGAAUAAAUCACAAAGGGUCAGAACUCAGACAGGCAUGGGAGUUCUUGGGACUGGAAGAAAAUGACAGUCCUGGCAAGAAGUAAUCUUCCACCAGCCCAACACUGUCCCUAGCUGCACGAACAAGCAGAUGAGAGAGUAGUGAGGGCAAACAGGAACGACUCCGUGACCCUGCACGCAUCCUCGCUCAGGAUGUUCCUCCUCAAACAGAGGGUGAAUGAAGGAAGAAGAAAGCAUGGGUUCCAGAGACAAGAGGAGGGAGGUGCUGGUGAAGGCGCAGCCCAUGCUGACAGCUGGGUCACAAACCCAAGAACAAGUAGCCUGGGGCAGAGAGUGGGCAGGCUGGGGGCUCCAGGAAAAAAUGACGCAGCAGCCAGCUAUGCAACAAAUCUGAAGACUGAGAGUAGGUUCGCACUUCUGCGGGAGAAUCUAGGGAGCAAUUAAUGAGACGUGUAGAAAACUAAGCCCCCCAAAAGGCAAUGAUUAACUCCAGGGGAAACAAAAAGUUGUGCAAGAAAGCAAAUAUAAUCCUAGGACACCUUGUUCUGUGCUGAGACCUGUGGGAAUGAAGCGGUAAUACUACCCAUCACACUGGGAUGACGCUGGGUCAGGGGGUUGAGGCCAGUGACCCCCUUCCCCCCAGAGGACACCGGCAGGUGACAUGUGAUGUUAAAAACCAAUAAAAACACAGUAAAAGCA